AGUGAACGCUGGCGGUAGGCCUAACACAUGCAAGUCGAACGGCAGCACAGUAAGAGCUUGCUCUUACGGGUGGCGAGUGGCGGACGGGUGAGGAAUACAUCGGAAUCUACUUUUUCGUGGGGGAUAACGUAGGGAAACUUACGCUAAUACCGCAUACGACCUACGGGUGAAAGCAGGGGAUCUUCGGACCUUGCGCGAUUGAAUGAGCCGAUGUCGGAUUAGUUAGUGGGCGGGGUAAAGGCCCACCAAGGCGACGAUCCGUAGCUGGUCUGAGAGGAUGAUCAGCCACACUGGAACUGAGACACGGUCCAGACUCCUACGGGAGGCAGCAGUGGGGAAUAUUGGACAAUGGGCGCAAGCCUGAUCCAGCCAUACCGCGUGGGUGAAGAAGGCCUUCGGGUUGUAAAGCCCUUUUGUUGGGAAAGAAAAGCAGCAGGUUAAUACCCCGCUGUUCUGACGGUACCCAAAGAAUAAGCACCGGCUAACUUCGUG
rnacentral:rRNA from 1 species